rnacentral:rRNA from 1 species
UACAGAGGAGCCAAGCGUUGUCCGGAUUGACUGGGCGUAAAGCGCACGCAGGCGGACGCGCGCGUGGGGUGUGAAAUCUGGCCGCUUAACGGCCAGGCGCCAUCCCAUACGGCGCGUCUGGAGUGAUGCAGAGGUCGAUGGAAUUCCCGGUGUAGUGGUGAAAUGCGUAGAUAUCUGGAGGAACACCGGUGGCGAAGGCGGCAUCCUGGACCGGUAUUGACGCUGAGGCGCGAAAGCUAGGGGAGCAAACGGG